UACAGAGGGGGCGAGCGUUGUUCGGAAUUACUGGGCGUAAAGGGCGCGUAGGCGGCCAACUAAGUCAGACGUGAAAUCCCUCGGCUCAACCGGGGAACUGCGUCUGAUACUGGAUGGCUUGAAUUCGGGAGAGGGAUGCGGAAUUCCAGGUGUAGCGGUGAAAUGCGUAGAUAUCUGGAGGAACACCGGUGGCGAAGGCGGCAUCCUGGACCGAGAUUGACGCUGAGGCACGAAAGCGUGGGGAGCAAACAGG
rnacentral:rRNA from 1 species